CGGAAACGCUGUUUUGUAAGGAGAAUGGGGAGUACAAGAGGCUGCGCAUCAAGUGAACAACAAGUGAAAAUGAAUCAGUGCGAAAGUGGGUGAUAAGGAAAGGUAGCAAAGUUGGAGUUUUGUUGUUGCGUGUGACAAACGCGGAGGGAGGGAGUGAAUGAGUGCAAAUUCACAGACCCAAGCACACACCCACACACAUCAAUCAAUGUUCUCUCCAAUGACUAAAAGGAUUAGACACGCACCUCAAAACUCCCACAGAUCUUGUCUACAGAAGUGGAGCCAUGACCCAGCUUCGUGUUUUUUGCAAUUUGUCUGACGUUGUUUAGAGGAAGUGAUUGAUUUUGUGGUGUGGGUUUGCUUGCGGUGAGUCGUGCCCCAUCUCGCUGCAAGCAAAUGAUGCAGCACGGGUGAUGGCCGAGGAGAGAAAGAGAGAGAGUGAGAGAGAGGGAGACAGAGAGUACACACACUCACUAAACACCCACCUCAUCUCAUGCUGUUGACAUCGCACGCGAGCAUGGGCUGCUGAGUAUCGGGAAUGGUGUGUUGCUGCAGGACGUCAAUUCAGCGUCACGCUUGAGUUGUUCGCACGUUUCUCUUUGCUCUGGAAUGAGAGCGCGUCAAUGGAUGUUCUGUCUGGAGUGGUGAUGGGCCUGGUUAGGGUUCGGUAACCCUAUCUGGCUGGGUCAUCCGACCCCUAACUUUGUUUCUUAUCUUGGCCGAGAAUUUGUCAUUGUUACUUAUCAGAAGACUGGUGCAUUUAUUCGUCGUAGCUAAGAAGAAGGGCAGCUUUCAGCAUAAUCUCUUGGCGUAGCGUUGUUCAAAAUGACUUCCACACACACACACAACUUCGUUUUAAACACGUGCUGUCGUUCCGAUCAGUUCUGUUGAUUGUUCAGCAUUGUGAAGUAUUGUGUAAUGUAGGGCCUGGCGGAAAACCUUGAAUUGACUUCUCUUCAAAUGCAUUUGCAGCUACCUUUUAGGGUUUCGAAACUCUUGGAACAGAAGAACUAGAUCUGUAUCACUGGUGUAUUGAUUGACACUGAUCAGUGCAACAACAAUCCAAGCAUCACCGUUCUUCUUCCUCUUCUGAAGCUUCGUUGAAAGCUUUGCAUGGAACCAUCCCAGCAAGACAACUUCGGGGCUUUGUCAUCCCAAAGCCAUGAAGACAAGCUGGUUUUGUGGAUCCAUUGAUGUUUGCUUAGAAAUGGAUAUUCCUUCCAGACUUAGCGUGAUUACAGAUCAACCAGGUAUGACGAGUCUGACUUGAAGUAAUCAUGGAAAUCCUUGAAACCUCCACCAUUUAACGUGUCAGUGUGUGUAUAUAUAUAAAAAUAUAAAUAGUUGUAUCGCAAUUAAAGAAUGUUGGUUGAUGAGGACAAAGCAGCUAACCCGCUGGCUUCCUUGAGGCCAGCGAGAAUGGUGGAGGGAUAACAGCUCAACUAGUACCUACAUUGACUUGUAAAACAUGUUGCAGGUGCACAUGGUGAAACAUAAUUAUGGCUUAAUGCAUUGAAGAACACAAGGUAUUAACAUUUUUACAAAUGUAUGUAUGACCUAAUAAUAUAAUUGCUACUUUAUCUAUGAAUCAUCAGAAUAGAUAAUAAAAAACUAGAAAAUAACAAACAAGCAUUUAUAGUAAUUGAAAUACCCAUCAUGCUGAAAUUCCAUUUUCAUUUUUUGGAUGAAUAAUGUUGUGUAUAUAAUGUCUAUCAAACUCAAUGCUCUUUUUUAAUGUAUAUACUAUUUUUGUACCAAUUUCAUUAAAAAAUAAUGGUUUUGUUCUGUGAAUCCACAAGUUGUUUGAAUGAAUUUAUCAAUUAAUCGCAACCAAAUACAUUCUCAAGAUACUUCAUGUAAGGCAAU